UUUAAAUCUUGAACCAACGUUGUAAGCCGCAGUUUUCGCUUCAUUGCCCAUCCAGAGAAGGAGACCAAUCGGCGAGCGGAUCAACACUCCAGUUUCUUCAGUUCUCUUUAUCAACACAGACAAAAGGAAACAAAAAGCAACAAAGAAAACGGGGACUAUUGCUGAGGAGGAUCGAGCGAGACCAGCCAGAACAAAAAAGAAAAAAGAAAUAAUCCAUCUUUUCGCGCGGAUGCCGCCGUCACAACAGACUGAAGUCCCGGACCACGCCAUCCAAUAUACAUUCGACGGGGUAAAGCCAUUUCUUGAUUUCUUUUUGCCUUUUUCUAAUCGGAAACAAGUGAUGUAUCAACAUGCAAAUAACUUCAAAAAAGAUCGAUAUGUCUUUCUGUUGACUCGACGACGGAGCGGCUGGAUACAUAUCGUGGGGAGGGUGGAUGUAGUAAACUCAUCAGUGUUUUAACUUACGAGUGGCGGUGAAGGCGAAGGAUCCACCUUGUCUGGAUCCAAAGUCGUAGUCGAAUCCCUGUUUCAUGUUAGAAGAAAAAUCAAUCAAUCGACUUCGAUUUUCGCACUUGCACAACGGACAGGCUUACCCUGAAACUCAUGGCUCCAGUUGAUUUCAAUCAAGGGAAACACUUGGCAGUUAAAAUUUUCUCGGAAUCAAAAACUAGUCAGUCAGUUAAAUUGUGGAUGACAUUGACGUUCGGUGGACUCAACGUGAUGCCAAAGACAAACAAAGUAAAACCAGGCCUGCUCCACGGCCGAGGUUGAUGUGGACGAAUUCGACUAUCAACGCCAACGCGUAAGCGUGCAUUGUUGGGGCUAUGACGGUACGGCGCUUAUGACGCACAGCUAUACUUGCUCAGCUUUUGUUUGUUUCCUUAUUGGCGGAGAGCAUUCCACGCGCAAUGCCCGGUCAAUUGAUUUUCCUAUGAAGGCUUUGACAUGAGGAGAGGCGGGCGCGUGUGCAUAUGUAUAUCGUGCACGAGUCGUGACGGACCGAAGACUUCAUAUAGGCCAUAGAGAUAUUGUUUCGGGGCGGGGGAUUGGUGCACCGAAGAAUUCCGUCCAUCAACUCUGCGAAGGGCGCGGAUAAACACGAGGUUUCUCAUGUUAAGUUAUUUUCGGUAAGUUCCUCUACAGGAGACGACGACGACGACGGCGACGCGAAUUGAGGAGAGGACGGGAUACCUACGAGCCCGCGACAACGCACACUUGAUGGAUCAAUGAUUUCUUGACCAUCGUUCAGUUCUGUCCGGCCCCCAUCGACCCUAAAUGAUUCUUUUCUUUUUACGUCAAGAGGCGUGUUCGGUCUCUUUUUCCGGCCGGCCUUCUAUACCAAAUGCGUUUUAACAAGAUUUUUUUUUCUUAAAUGAGAAGAAUGGAACGACAUUCAUGUUUAAUGAAGAGAGGUUUCGCUUUUAACUUUUUUCACAGGAAUUGUUCGAGAAAGAAUUUCUUUUAAACAAACAACGUUAAACAAACGGAUAGGGUUACUGUAUACGAAUAUUUUUUAUUUCUUCCGGCUUAAUAUUUAUCACUGUCGUCGUCGGGAUCGUCGAUCCUCAUCUUGACACGUGCCUUUUUCAUUAUGCAUGAAUGUUUUUUUAAUUCUUUAAACACACCUUCUAGCGUUUUCAACCCCGCUACGAGCAAGAUGGGAACUUGGCUCUUACAGUUUCUAAAUGGGGGUUGCCAUGCCAGCGGCAACAAAUAGAAAAAAAAACUUAUUUGCCACCCUUUCGUUCGUAGAACUUAAAAAAAAAAUGUUUCAACUUUCUAAAUCCCAACUUCCCAGACACGCUUCCGCCCCCUAUCGUUUUCAUUCUCUUACAGAUGUCCGAUUUAUCAUUCAGUUUAUUCGCGUGUUUUGAUUCUAGAAAUGCGGGGGAAGAAUAUUGACCACCUCUACGGUAGCCCUUCCGAGGUCUCUGGAAUUCACUCACAAAAUGAAACCCUGUUUGUAGUAUGUUUUACCGUAAUCAAAAUUAAAUUGAGAUUGGAUAAUAAUAGGGGAAUCCGGCUACGAAUCCACGGCGUCACGUCAGCUCAGACUUCUAAUCUGAUUUAUACGAAUAAAUGGAUCAUUCAUGGCCCCCAGACGUUAAAGUCGAGCUAGAUUUCUUUCUUCCAGGCGAGAUUGCAUGCGGCGCCAGUAUGUUAAUUGUCCUCCUACGAAACUUCCUACGUGACUCGGCUGGGAGAAGUCGGUUGUCGUACAAUGCGGUAAUUAUUCUAGCGAUAAGGUUCAAAUGUUUGAGCAAGUAAAUCACCGAGUUUGAAUCUUUUCCAUAGUCCAAAAUUAUGGGAAAGAAAUAGACCAGGUCUAAUCGCUGUACACUAGUAUUCGCGUUGCAAUAAUCGUAUGCAUAUGCGAGUUUACAUAUAUAAACAAUUGCCUUUUUUUUUAUGCCCAUAUCUUUUCUUCCCGAACUUUCGCCGUGACGUCCACGAAGAUGAUGACCAUCCGUCACGCAAUAUCUAUUUCUUUGAGCUGAGCCGAGGGGGACUCUCGAGUCAAGUUGCUGAACAUACUUGAACCUAAUGAUCUUAAGCUUUUUGCAUGAAAUCAGGAAUCAACAAUAAGCUGGAUGGACACUUUUCUGACAAAACUGUGCAGUCACUUUAUUGUUAAGUACACAAUGGGACAUAAUUUUAAACCGACCAAGACCAAAUCUGGACUACGUUGUAUAAACAAGGCUACAGGCUUGUCGACAAGCGGUCGAUAUUGUCUCUUUGAUUCCUUUUCUUUUGACACCAUUGUUCGUGGUGUUACAAUACCACUCCGAGCUACUAGACAAGUUCCUAAUAUACAAGUGACGUGCAUGUGAAGAGGACCAGACACCGCGUUUCCCCCGCCGCCUCCAUUGAUUGCUCCGACGACGAGUCGUGGUGUAAUCCCUUCAUUGACGCCUUCAAAUUCUUUGUGGUGAAUAGGCUCUCCGUCGUAUAAAAAAGGUGCACGUAAUGGUGUUUCUUGUGCACCCCCAACACAUUCAAAUUGCGUCUCCGUUUAUUGGGGGAAUUUGUGGGGGAGUGGAGAAAUAGGAGGGGGGAAGGAUUUUCUUCGUAUAAAAUGUUGUCUCAUAAGAAUGGCGCAAUUCCGUUCCAGUUGACGCGCGCUCCGCUCCACCUGCGGCCGAAAUAGGAAAAUGAAUCAGGAUCGAUAGCGAGUGAAUAUAACAGGUGUUGUUUCAUCGAGACUGAAGAUGGCGAAGUGAAUCGCGGGGCUUUUUUGAUUUGACUAACUCGAAUGCUUACUUGGUUCUGAUGAUUUUGUCAAGCGUGCUGAGAGGCAAUUCUGCAUCCGUUUCUUCAAAUCCGCGGGUGCUUAUGUUCAAAAUGGUUUCACUUGUCUGGUAAUGAGAACUGGUGAAGUAAUGCAACUGGAAGCUUCAAACAGAAAUGAGGGUGACAGUGAGGACAGUGUCCUUUGGGUUUAACUUUUGACGCGUAAAUUUUUAGAUUACGUACUUGUACUCGUUUCGGUAAUCUCUCAUCAGAGCACGGUCUAAGCAAAAUAAAAGGCCAGUUUGGUCGCAGCAGAUCACCAGCCAAACAGGAAAGAUUGGUGUUUUUAAUCGGGAUCCAAGAUUAGCAGCUUGUGUCUUUUCCUCGUUGCCCAUCCAUAAGAGGAGGCCGAGUGGUGACCGAAUUAACACUCCCGUUUCCGCAACAGCCUGCAGUAUAAAAUGAGGUUUAAGCUCUUCCGGUCAUGAGCAAGCAUAGCACACUGUUAGAAAUGCUACCCUUAAAACUCACCAGAUGGCUUCUGUUUGUCAGUCCGCUAUAAUUCGCCGCUCGUCCCAUCAGGUCUUCGUUCACUCUUGAAAAAAAAGAAGAAUUUUCCAUCAAAAUUUUACGGUACAUUACUAGGAAAUUGGUAAUGAUUGACUUCUUUUCAUUUUCGGGUAUUACCGAUCCAAGCCUCUGGAUAAAACAGCGCUAUACAGUAAAAGAAGGACAGCCGGGCCAGGUUCUUCUUGGAACUGUUGGAAAGAAAGAGGAGAAGUUGAUUUCAACUUGCUAAUACAAAUAAAAGUUACGCCAUCGUGUUUAAGGUAAUGUAUACUAUGUAAAUAUAUCGGCGUAGCACGGUUACGAGUUCAUCCCACUUUCCGAAAGGUACCAGCUGCAACUACAUAAAGUAAAUUGGAAAAAAAAGUAAAGUUGGUCAACAUUUGCGUAUGAAUGUUAGAUAGCGUGCGUGAAUACUUUUUCAGUCACUCCGUCUUGAUUGAACUGGGGAGACUCUGGGAGAUAUACACCAGAUUUGCUUGGUAAACAGAGUACGCCUUGUCCACUUCCGGCCCGCCAGAUGAUGUCGGCUAGAGCUGCAACAAGAGCUUCUUUCUGUAUCGUUCUCGUUGGCUCUAAAGGAUCUCUUCUGUUAAUUGCAAAUUGAAAAACAAGUUAUCAGAAAGCAGUUUCACGUCAUAUAACAAAUCGUUUUAGAAGUCAA
rnacentral:lncRNA from 1 species